GACGAACGCUGGCGGCGUGCUUAAUACAUGCAAGUCGAGCGAACAGACGCGGAGUUUGUUGCUUUGUCGUUUGGCGAGCGGGGGUGUGUCACACGUGUAUCCUGCACUUGUCUGUGUGAUAACUUUUCGGGACUCCGGCGAAUACCCGGGAUGAUCUCCUGCACCAUAUGGUUGAUUGGUGAAAGUCGGCUGUGGGGGAUGUUAUCGAUGCUUAUCAGCUGGUUUGUGUGGUAGGUGCUUACAAGGGCUUUGACGGGUAGGCGGCAUGAGAGGGUUAACGGGCACCUUGGGACUGAGAUACGGCGCAGAAUCCUACGGGAGGCAGCAGUGGGGAAUAUUGCAGAAUGGGCGGAAGUCUGAUGCAGAAACGCCGCGUGCGGGAUGAUGGCUUUCGGGUUGUAAACCGAUUUCGCAUGUGACGAAGCGUGCGUGACGGUAAUGGGUCAAGAAGCACCGGCUAACUACGUG
rnacentral:rRNA from 1 species